GACAGAGGCCUCGAUCGUUAGGCGGAAUCACUGGGCUUAAAGCGUGUGUAGGCGGAUCGUUAAGUACCUUGUGAAAUCCCACGGCUCAACCGUGGAACGGCUGGGUAUACUGGCGGUCUUGGGCCAUUCAGGGGCGACUGGAACAAGCGGUGGAGCGGUGAAAUGCGUAGAUAUCGCUUGGAACGCCGAAGGUGAAAACAGGUCGCUGGGGAUGUGCCGACGCUGAGACACGAAAGCCAGGGGAGCAAACGGG
rnacentral:rRNA from 1 species